CCUGCCCCUACAAGUGUUGUAGGUUUGCUGUUGUACCACAGCUACAUCAACAGGUGGCAGAGAGGAGGGCUCUGCUCAGUGUUCUGGCCUAGGAACAUCUGAUGAUUGCUAGCCUAACAUU
rnacentral:snoRNA from 1 species